rnacentral:rRNA from 1 species
UACGAAGGGGGGCUAGCGUUGCUCGGAAUUACUGGGCGUAAAGGGUGCGUAGGCGGGUCUUUAAGUCAGGGGUGAAAUCCUGGAGCUCAACUCCAGAACUGCCUUUGAUACUGGUGAUCUUGAGUCGGGAGAGGUGAGUGGAACUGCGAGUGUAGAGGUGAAAUUCGUAGAUAUUCGCAAGAACACCAGUGGCGAAGGCGGCUCACUGGCCCGGUACUCGACGCUGAG